UUUAUUGCAUAAGGGAUGUGUUUUUAUGUCAUGUAAAUAUAAAAACGAUAGCGAAAAUGAAAAAACAAGAGUUGAAAUCAAUCAGUCGUUGACUUCCACUGAGCCAUUCAAGUAGCUUGCCGCAGAUGUGAUUUGAGGGACAUGAAUAAAAACAUUUGCCUCUUCCGUUCAGUAAGAGAGUUAAAAUGGAGAUCGUCGGUUUGUAAAAUCGAGUGGAAUUCAUGGGGUUUUCAGUUUAUCUGUGACCGUCUGAAAAGUUAAAAAAAAAACCUUUAAUCCGGAGCUGAACGUAAGUGCUGCAGCAAUAAGUGAAAUCAAUAUUAUGUAAACCAAUUUACUGGUCAUUACAUGCUACAUUAUUUACAAGUCAAACCCAUUUUCGACAAACUCCAGCCAUUUUUAAUCGAACCGAGUCGUGCAUAGUUUGUCUCCAUAAAUAUGGAGUGAAAAAGUGUUUUAAAAUACAAUUUUCGCCUAAGUUUAUGCUUCACCGGCUGUUUAAUGUGAAAUGAAUGCAUAACGUUAGUAAACAAACCGAUAUAGGCAACAGAGGAUCUCGAGGAAGUUUUUUGCGAGGACUAAUCAAGGCCAUUUAUUUUCGAAGAACAGUUUUGAGAACGUUGAUGGAAAAUUCCUUUGGAUUCAAAUUUUUCUGUUUAGAAUUUUCGCUUUCCAAUAUAAUCCCAGCAACAUCUUAUUUUGAAUCCCCGAACAAAUGGGGAUGAAAUUGGAUUUUGGAAUUAUCAACCGCAAACCAAGAAACUCGAAUUAUGGCAGCAUUGUAUUGAACAGUGAGCAAUAUACGAACGAAAGUGUCUGAAUUAUAAAAACCAAGGCCCGAAUAUCUAGGCCUUUCACACUACGUUCUCAGAGUGACCACAUUAACUUGGUGGAUGCUGCCCAAACGAACAAAAAAUCUGAUCUCCUUCUCAUUGACAAUAAUUCGAUGACUUUGUAUCCCAUCUAAGAAUUCAGAGCGUCUUGACGACUUGAAGAACUGAAACGAAGCUUCUAGAAAUGUUCAAACAUUUCAGGAAGAAUAAAUCGUCAACUACGAAUUGUAUUAAACUUUUCAGAGCCUCAAUCAAGUGUUAAAAUUUAAAUGUUCAGUGUUGCCUCAAUAUAAGUUGAUGAAAAAAUAAAAUAAUGAAAUUAUGUUGAAUAAUGUAUUAAUAACUAUUUUAG